rnacentral:rRNA from 1 species
AGCGAACGCUGGCGGCAGGCCUAACACAUGCAAGUCGAACGAACCCUUCGGGGUUAGUGGCGGACGGGUGAGUAACACGUGGGAACGUGCCUUUAGGUUCGGCAUAACUCAGGGAAACUUGUGCUAAUACCGAAUGUGCCCUUCGGGGGAAAGAUUUAUCGCCUUUAGAGCGGCCCGCGUCUGAUUAGCUAGUUGGUGAGGUAAUGGCUCACCAAGGCUACGAUCAGUAGCGGGUCUGAGAGGAUGACCAGCCACAUUGGGACUGAGACACGGCCCAAACGCUUACAGGAGGCACCCGUGGGGAAGCGUGCGCAAGGGGCGAAAGCCUGACGCAGCCAUGCCGCGUGGAUGAUGAAGGUCUCAGGAUUGUAAAAUCCUUUCACCGGUGAAGAUAAUGGCUGUAGCCGGAGAAGAAGCCCCGGCUAACUUCGUGCCAGCCGCCGCCGUAAAAC